rfam:Schistosoma rodhaini strain Burundi genome assembly, scaffold: SROB_scaffold0022525
AUCCAGCUGACGAGUUCCAAAUAGGACGAAACGCGCGACGUGGAU